GAUGAACGCUGGCGGCGUGCUUAACACAUGCAAGUCGAACGGAGUGCCCUUGAAGGAGUUUUCGGACAACAGAUAGGGUUACUUAGUGGCGGACGGGUGAGUAACGCGUGAGUAACCUGCCUUGGAGUGGGGAAUAACAAUUGGAAACAACUGCUAAUACCGCAUGAUGCAGUUGGGUCGCAUGGCUCUGACUGCCAAAGAUUUAUCGCUCUGAGAUGGACUCGCGUCUGAUUAGCUAGUUGGUGAGGUAACGGCUCACCAAGGCGACGAUCAGUAGCCGGACUGAGAGGUUGGCCGGCCACAUUGGGACUGAGACACGGCCCAG
rnacentral:rRNA from 1 species